rnacentral:tRNA from 1 species
AGGGACUUAGGAUAGCAUCUUAGACCAAGGACCUUCAAAGCCCUAAGCAGAAGUGAAAAUCUUCUUGUCCCUG